ensembl:snoRNA LOC120098010 small nucleolar RNA U13
AUCCUUUUGGUUCAUAAAGCGUGAUGAUUGGAUGUUCAUGCUGUGUGUGUGACAUAUGCCACCCACUAAACAUUGUUACGACAUGGGCACGUUACCCAUCUGAUG